rnacentral:rRNA from 1 species
UACGUAGGGGGCGAGCGUUGUCCGGAGUUACUGGGCGUAAAGGGCGCGCAGGCGGUCUGGCAAGUUUGGAGUGACAGUGCUCGGCUUAACUGAGCAAGGCCUUCGAAAACUGCUAGACUUGAGCGCUCAAGAGGGACAUAGAAUUCCGGGUGGAGUGGUGAAAUGCGUAGAUAUUCGGAGGAAUACCAAAGGCGAAGGCAGUGUCCUGGGGAGUGUCUGACGCUCAGGCGCGAAAGCUAGGGGAGCGAACAGG